rnacentral:misc_RNA from 1 species
UGCAUGGAUAGCCUCUCGCAGGUCACAUCUACGUCUUUAGUUUGAAAAAAGUAUCGUUAUACUUUGAACUGAAUUGUAUAAUAUAUCCUUCGUUCGAACUAUAUAUUCUUCGAAGGCUCGAAGCUGUUUUAUUCUACACUUGCUGUAUUAUAUCUUUGAUUGGCGACCACGGACCACGCUUUACAUUGAACAAUCAUGUGAACAUCUAUAAGAUCCAUCACGAGAUCUCUAGUUUGUUUACCAACAUUCAGUGUAUCUGGUUUAUUUCUGUCUUCAUUCUGUGGAAUUGUCAAGAUGUAGUUGAAAUAUAGCUCUCAGAAAGGUAGGACAUCUUAGUGUGGAAUAACUCAAAUGGACUGCAAUGGUCCAGCCUCUCUUUCGCAGUAUGUGAUCCAGCUCGCAAGUCCUUUGCACCAGCAAACCUGACUCGGGUCAUUUGAUCACCACCAAAUGGAACUGAUACAAUUUUCAUAUGGUCACUUUCAUCCACCCUAUUGUAAUGUGCCCUUGGUUGAUCUGGUAAUAACGACUGUCCUUCAACUGUGAAAUGGCCGUUUUGAGGCUCCAAGUUCUUCUUUCAUGCCAAGCAUGGUGGUGCCUCGUGAGAUUCUCCCCCCCCCCGCAUAUCGAAAACGCUUCUGUGCCCUUGAUUCAUAUUAGAAAAUUUUGGUGAUGAAGAAAAUUUUCAGGCAAAUAGCCUCAGCCCCCCCCAGUUGAAAUUGGCCCUGUACGCCUAUGAUGACAAGUUCUUUAAACGUUUGCAAGGUGGAAAAACACCACGUAUAUUUAUUAAUGCAAACUAUUCGAUCCAUAUGCCUUGAUUAUCACUGAUGACAAUCCAGGCAUACAGACUGAAAGCUUUGCAUUAAUAAAUAUACAUGGUGUUUCUCCACAAAAUAAAUACAAUUAUAAAUCAUAUAUAGUUUCUGUUUUCUAGUGAUCUAUUCCUAGUAUGUACAGUGUAAGACAAAUGUGCUCUGAAACCUAUUCCUCUUGUAGUUUUGUGCAAGUUUGUGUGUGCACAGUUUGAUCUGGGUUGAUCAUAUUGAAUAUUAAAUUGCUGACAUAUUUUAAGGCUAUUACAACAAAUAGAAUUUGUUCCUCAUUUCUGAACUUGUCCAACAUAAAGUGGGAAAAGGUCCUAGCCUAGAAUCUGCAAUUACAAAAUAUUUGGAAUAAAAACUGACUUUAUAUUGUACCAAGUUGCAUUGAUCAACUGCUGAAUGCCAAAGCAUGGAUGUCUGUAGAUUGUACUAUAUCUAUAAUAGAACUUAAGUUUUUAACUACAAUGAACAUACAUAUAGACCUCCACUGGGAAAGCAUUUUGAAACAAUCGCAGAACAAGUCUGCAAUUGAAGGACAGUUUAUUUGUUGACAACCCUAUAAGUACAAGUAACUAUGUAAGAAUUUUGCUGAUUAUUGUACAUCAUAAUUAUAUAUUUUUAUAUCAUGAAUUAUAUAUUUGAAAUUUCUACAUGUCUUUUAAAAAAAUCCACUAUAUCAUAUAACAUAUACAUGUGCUUUAGAAGUGGUGUUUUCAAACUUUAGCAUCAAUGAUAAAAAAUAAGGACAAACAAAAUCAAUCUGUAUUUUAAUCAUAAAAUAUACAUACAAUUUUAUAUACACUGAA